rnacentral:rRNA from 1 species
CAAGUCGUGGGGCAGCAGGUGUAGCAAUACAUGCUGGCGACCGGCAAACGGGUGCGGAACACGUACGCAACCUUCCUUUAACUGGAGAAUAGCCCCUCGAAAGAGGGAUUAAUACUCCGUAACAUCCCGAUACAGCAUUGUGAUGGGAUUAUAGCUCCGGCGGUUAAAGAUGGGCGUGCGCCUGAUUAGGUAGUUGGCGGGGUAACGGCCCACCAAGCCUGCGAUCAGUAACUGGUGUGAGAGCACGACCAGUCACACGGGCACUGAGACACGGGCCCGACUCCUACGGGAGGCAGCAGUAAGGAAUAUUGGUCAAUGGACGCAAGUCUGAACCAGCCAUGCCGCGUGGAGGAUUAAGGCCCUCUGGGUUGUAAACUCCUUUUAUCUGGGAAGAAAUGUACUUUUUCUUGAGUACUUGACGGUACCAGAGGAAUAAGCACCGGCUAACUCCGUGCCAGCAGCCGCGGUAAUACGGAGGGUGCAAGCGUUAUCCGGAUUCACUGGGUUUAAAGGGUGCGUAGGUGGGCAGGUAAGUCCGUGGUGAAAUCUCUGAGCUUAACUCAGAAACUGCCGUGGAUACUAUUUGUCUUGAAUAUUGUGGAGGUGAGCGGAAUAUGUCAUGUAGCGGUGAAAUGCUUAGAUAUGACAUAGAACACCAAUUGCGAAGGCAGCUCACUACACAAUUAUUGACGCUGAGGCACGAAAGCGUGGGGAUCAAACAGGAUUAGAUACCCUGGUAGUCCACGCCCUAAACGAUGAUUACUCGACAUCAGCGAUACACUGUUGGUGUCUGAGCGAAAGCAUUAAGUAAUCCACCUGGGAAGUACGUUCGCAAGAAUGAAACUCAAAGGAAUUGACGGGGGUCCGCACAAGCGGUGGA